rnacentral:rRNA from 1 species
GAUGAACGCUGGCGGCGUGCCUAAUACAUGCAAGUCGAGCGAACAGACGAGGAGCUUGCUCCUUUGACGUUAGCGGCGGACGGGUGAGUAACACGUAGGUAACCUACCUAUAAGACUGGGAUAACUUCGGGAAACCGGAGCUAAUACCGGAUAAUAUUUCGAACCGCAUGGUUCGAUAGUGAAAGAUGGCUUUGCUAUCACUUAUAGAUGGACCUGCGCCGUAUUAGCUAGUUGGUAAGGUAACGGCUUACCAAGGCAACGAUACGUAGCCGACCUGAGAGGGUGAUCGGCCACACUGGAACUGAGACGCGGUCCAGACUCCUACGGGAGGCAGCAGUAGGGAAUCUUCCGCAAUGGGCGAAAGCCUGACGGAGCAACGCCGCGUGAGUGAUGAAGGUCUUCGGAUCGUAAAACUCUGUUAUUAGGGAAGAACAAAAGUGUAAGUAACUGUGCACGUCUUGACGGUACCUAAUCAGAAAGCCACGGCUAACUACGUG